rnacentral:lncRNA from 1 species
AGUUAAAUGUUUUAUAGACAAAACCACUAAAACCAGUGCAUUCAUUAUCAGCAUAUUCAUUAUCGUCAUCCUCUUCAUCUUCCUCCUCAUCCUCUUCCUCAUCCUCUUCAUCUUUCUCAUUCUUCCUUUUCUUGCUUUUUUCAGCCUUGACAUCUCCCUUUUUCGCUGCAUCAGGCUUUCCUUUAGCUCGAUAUACAGCAGUAUCCUUUCUGUAUUUUUCCUUCAGCUUUGCAGCCUUCUUUUCAUAAGGCCAUUUGUCAUCUGCAGCACUGUUAGUCCGCAUCUCUCCCAGUUUCUUUGCAACAUCACCAGUAGAUUAAAAUGAAAUCACUUUUUUAAAAAAAGAUUGUAUCUCUAAAUAACCACCAGAGAAUGGUUUUUCUGCUUGUUGUUACCUCAUUUUUCACAGAUCUUCCUAAUAAUUAUCAGUGGUACAAAUGUGGGAAAAGUUCAUCCAGGGCUAAGGGUUCGUCACCUGCCAGUAGUGGGAUAGAUAAGCCACGUGGCUCAAUAAAUUAUUGAACCCAUAGUGUCACCCUCCAAGUAUUUUUCUUUUUUAAUCACAAUACCAUAAUGCCUUUAGGUGUGAAACUGGGUAUAGCCUAAGAAUAGGAACUGGAUGAGAUAUUUCAUGAGGACACUUGAUCCUUGCUUGCUGUGAUAUUGCUAAGGGUGUGGCAUCAUGAUUUGGACAAAAUGAGAAUGGCAGGAAUUGGGGAGAUAAAAUAUCAGGCUCAUAGGCCUUCAUGGAGUUAAAGCAGUAUUGUGUGUGCUUAGCUCCAGAAUUCUCAGAAUUUUUACAAUAAUUCAACAGGACGUUGGAUUGAAUAAGCACUUUAAUACUGAAACACUGGAUUUGAAAACUGGAUGUUAUGUGUUCUACUCAUAAGCCUAUUACUCAUUGGCUGUGACCUGGGAUACAUCACUGCUUUUGCUUUUAGAGAAUGAGGGUCAUUGGGCUAGGUAUUUACAGCUCUUAAUAUUUUAGGGUUGCAGUCUAGCACCGUAUUUUUAAAACAAGAAUUCUAAGCUUCUAAUAUCCACCUGUUCUUUGCAAGGUUAACUUUUUUUUAACAAACUCUGAGAAUCAGAAGUCUUAGACAUUUACUUGAUAAUUUUAGCAUUUGAGGAAUUGGCUGAUGUUCCUAGAAUCAAAUUCUGACAGAAACUUUAAUGCCCCCUCUAUCUCACUGUUUUAUUUAACAAGAGUUCUGAUUGCUUUCAUUGGUUGGUAAAACAGAUAUUUCAAGUAAUAGCCACACUGAUUAAUUUCAUUAUGGUGACAUUUCAUUAAUGUCAUUAUGGUGACAUUUCAGUUUUAUGUAUGUCUAUACUGCCCACACACAAAAGUACUACCGUGUGAUUCAAUAUUUUCUUCUGUAGUUCAUUUGUAUAAAAAAUCAGAUGGGCUGGGUGCGGUGGCUCACGCCUGUAAUCCCAGCAUUUUGGGAGGCCAAGACGGGUGGAUCAUAAGGUCAGAAGUUUGAGACCAACCUGGCCAAUAUGGUGAAACUCUGUCUCUACUAAAAAUACAAAAGUUAGCCAGGCGUGGUGGCGCGCAUGUGUAGUCCCAGCCACUUGGGAGGCUGAGGCAGAAGAGUCGCUUGAACCCAGGAUGUGGAGGUUGCAGUGAGCCGAGAUCAUGCCACUGCACUCCAGCCUGGGUACAGAGCAAGAUGCCAUCUCAGAAAAAAAAAAAAAGUCUGAUGUGAUCCACAGAAGUGGUUUCAUGACUUAACUGUAGGUCUGUCUCAACCUUCUUUGGACAGGGUGAGGAAUCAACUAGAUAACGUUUUAAAUUUGGUACUUUAACAUUUGCUGGGCACUUAGAUAUACUACUACACUUAUGUGUAAUAGCUUAGACGUUAGAUACAAAUUAAUCAUUACCUGAAAAAUUCCUAACAGCAGUGGGUUGAGUGGGAAAAAAGGCAUGGAGGAUGAAAUCAUGUUCUUUUUUUUUUUUUCUUUUUGUUGGCGUGUUUGAUAGGUUUAAUAUGUUACUGAGUCUGCCAGUUCAAAUAGCCCACUUAGGGAUCUUAGGGAUUUGUAUUUAUUUACAUUUAGGGUUACCUCAAAUCCUAUGGCAAGCAAAAAAAUAAAAAUAAAUCCCCAAUUAUUUCCCUCAAAUCAAACCAGAAUUCCUACUGUUUCUCAAAAAAUCUUAGUUUCUUAGUCUAUAUAUGCAAUCAUAAAGCUUCUUCCAGUGUUUGUAUAAUUUUGGUGGCCUAGAUCUUGGUCAGAUGGGACAGGGAGGGGAAUUUUUGUAUGAAGGAACAUAACCAAAAAAAAAAAAAAAAAAGCACCACCUUCUUGUUUCUUAUUCCUCUGUGUAUCAUGUGAUACUGCUUUUAAGGCCUUAGAAUUGCCGAGGCCAUGGUAACCCAAGGCAGACUUGCUGUUUUCCUCUCAGAUUUGAAGUUCUGCAUUUUAUUAGUCACGAAGAACUAGUCUGUUACCAGUAAAUACUUAAGACACAAAACUUGCUUCUCUGUGCUGCUGUGUACUUCCUGUUUUGUCAGAUUUCCAUUUAGGGAAAAGAAUGGAUUUUAUGCUAGGCUAGCUUCUCCUGAAAUUCAGUUUGGAAGCCGUCCAGAUAUCUAGGGCGGGUGGUGGGGGAGAAUGGCAUGUCUUGUCUAUAUAUGAUGUCAUUUGUCAGAAAGAUUCAUUUGGCUGCUUAUCAUGAAAGAGAGGGUUGCCAGGAAGGAAGAGAAACCUUUUGCUGUCAGAACUAUUUAGUGUAUGACUUGCCUACUUUGUGGCUUGCCUUUAGGCUUUCCAUGUCAAAUGUGUUUGAGGUUGUGAAUGAAUUAUUAUAUUGCCUAUGAAGGAAGGAUCUAUGUUCAUUUCUAGUAGGUUUUUAUUCCAGAAAUAUGUAAGAACUGUAUUUAGACACAUUUGCUUCACUUAUAGAAGAGACAGGUCAAAGGUUAGAUGGUAAUUAGAACUGGGCUACAUUUUAAAUGUUGAAAAUGUUUUGGGGGGAAGUUGCAGUAAAACCAUUUUAAAAAUCUUUUGCAGCUAAAAUAGUAAAUAGAACACCUAGUUAUAAAUGAUGAAUUUUCUGUCAGUUUUUAUCCUAUGAAAUGAAAUUCCAAUUAGUUGUUAAUAGAAUGUGUGAGUAGAAUAUGCUUUCAGUGUAAUCCUGAAUCCUACUAAUACUGCUGGUAACGGAAUAUUGUUUUGCAAUGGUGGAACCAAAGCUCGUCUAUAAAAUUCUCUUUGACCAAAUUGACCUGGUCUGCAUUAAGUCAGAGCUAAUUUUCUCUUUUUUGACCUGUCAGUAAAAUAUGAAAGAUGCUUUUCAAUCCCUGACCAUUAGUGAACAGUUACAGAAUUUCUUCUUUAUUGGCACCCUGGCUCUUCGUUCACUCACAUGUUGGAAAUGUUCUCUUAACAUCUGUAUGUUGUCUUCCUUGGGAGCUGAUGUUGAAUUCUAAAAUAUUUGGAACCAUCCCUAUAAAUUUUCUGCCAGAUUCUUCCCUCCCCUUCCCCCCACCCCCCACUCUUUUUUUCAUCUAGGUGUAUGUAUGCUGCUAUUUCCGAGACAUACAUUCCUUACACAAUCAUGAAAAAAAGUUUUCCUAGACACCCAUCAUCCCUUACUGCUUCAUCCCCCAUUUUGCUUUCUAAAUGUCAUCUCUUCCUUUUUUUUUUUUGAGUUGGAGUCUUGCUCUGUUGCACAGGCUGGAGUGCAGUGGCGUGGUCUCGGCUCACUGCAUCCUCCGCUUCCCAGGUUCAAGUGAUUCUCCUGCCUCAGCCUCCUGAGUAGCUGGGAUUACAGGCGCCUGCCAUCACGCCUGGCUAAUUUUUAUAUUUUUAGUAGAGACGGGGUUUCAUCAUGUUGGCCAGGCUGGUCUUGAACUCCUGACCUCAGGUGACCAACCCAUCUUGGCCUUCCAAAGUGCUGGGAUUACAGGCGUGAGCCAUCACACCCUGCCCUAAGUGUCAUCACUUUAAAAGUAACCUUUUCUCUUACCCUAUUCUCCUUUUAGUAACCUGUUUCCAAAUCAGUGAUUCUCAAAUUUUAGAGUGUUAAUAAGAAUUACCUCAGAUACUUAUUGAAAAUACAGAUUCCUGGGUCCCUCUUCCUACCUAGUGAGUUCAAAUCUGUAGAAUUCUGACUUAGGUGAUCUUCGAACCACACUUUGAGAAAGUUGUCUGUUGCAUGCAUUCCCACUAUCAUGUAAAUUCUGUCCUUCAUAUUUUUACAUAAUCUACUUUGUUUUAAUUACUGGAAUCUCAGAAGUUUUUUACUCAUAAUUAUUGAUAAGCUUUUUCUCCUGAAUUCACUCAUUGGAGGGGUCUUCCACUAGGUGUCCAGGAAAUGUUCCCAAAUUCCCUUCCAUAUUUGUCAGAAUUUAUGUUCUCUCCUCCCCAAAGCACAUGUUUAUAGUUCAGUGUAGACAUACAAGUAUAUGUAUACACAUCUCUUUUUUACUUUUUUUUUGAGGCAGGGUCUCACUCUGUUACCUACACUGGAGUGCAGCAGCACCAUCUUGGCUCACUGCAACCUCUGCCUCCCAAGGUCAAGCAAUUCAACUGCCUCAGCCUCCCAAGUAGCUGGGACUACAGGCGCCUGCCACCAUGCCCGGCUAAUUUUUAUAUUUUUAGCAGAGAUGGGGUUUCACUCUGUUGGCCAGGCUGGUCUCAAACUGCUGACCACAAGUGAUCUGCCCACGUCGGCCUCCCAAAGUGUUGGGAUUACAGGCGGUAGCCACUGUGCCCAGCUUGUAUACACGUUUAAUAGACCUUGCCAGUGAUUUUUAGUAUCUGCUUUUCUCACUGGGGAAAGAACUAUAUCUGAACUUUUUAAAUUUUAGUCUUCCUUGGUGAUGUGAUACAUCGUAGGCAUCCAAAUGUUUGCCUUGAAUUUUUACUGCUAUCACUUGGUUGCUACUGACACCCAAACCAAUCAGACCUACUAAAUAUCAUAUAUUAUUAUCUUUAUACCUGUAAUUUUCCUAUACCAUUUCCUUUUCUCUAAAUUAUCAGAAUUUUCUUCGGUGCUAUCUUAAGAAUAAUUCCCUUAUAUUAUAUUAAUCUUGAAUCCCAUUGACUUUUCCUGAAAAAAAAUUAACUCCCAUUUCCACAUGGAUCUUAAUAGUUCAACUCUUUAUUUACAUGAAUUUUUCUCAAAACUUUGUGAUUCCAUGUAGUAGAAAUGAAAUAUAAGUCCAAAUGAUACACUUCAAAGACAAACCCAAGAUACAUGAGUAAGGAAUCCUGCUCAUCAACUAUCUUUAUAUGUUAAUCACAUUAUACUAGUAUUUAUUUCAAAGAGAUAUAUGGACUGGAAGGAUACACUUUAUAAUAGAGUACCUCUUGAAGGGGUUGAGUGGUCAAAGAAGGAAUAUUACUUUUAUUUGUAAUGUUUUAAUAUUUAUAUGAGGGACAAUAAAUACAUAGGUACAUAUGAACAUACCACAUAAUUUAAGUACCUACAUUGCAAAAACAAUGGAGGCUGGGCAGUGGCUCACACCCAUAAUCGCAACACUUUGGGAGGCCGAGGUGGGAGGAUCACUUGUCAUGACUUGAGACCAGCCUGGACAAUAUAGAUACAGCGUGUUUCUUCAAAAAUUUUAAAAAAUUAGCCAGGCGUGGUGGUACAUGCCUGUGAUUCGAGCUACUCGGGAGGCUGAGGUGGGAGGAUAGUUUAAGCACGGAAGAUUGAGGCUGCAGUGAUCUUUGAUCCUGCCAUUGUACUCCAGCCUGGCAACAGAGUGAGACCCUGUCUCCGGAAAAAAAAAAAAAACACCAUGGAAGCAAGCAAAAAAAAAAAAAUUCCUAAAAUAGUUAUUCCAGGUUGUGGGAAUAUGGAUGGCUUUCUUCUUUGCCCUCUUUGUUAUUUUCUUUGUUAUUGUUGUUCAGAUGGAGUCUCAUUCUGUCGCCCAGGCUGGAGUGCAGUGGCACGAUCUUGCCUCACUGCAAGCUCCACUUAGAUUGAAGCAGUUCUCCUGUCUCGGCCUCCUGAGUAGCUGGGAUUACAGGUACCUGCCUCCACACCCGGCUGAUUUUUGUAUUUUUAGUAGAGACGGGGUUUCACCUUGUCGGUCAGGUUGGUGUCUAACUCUUGACCUCGUGAUCUACCUAGCUCAGCCUCCCAAAGUGCUGGCAUUGCAGGCGUGAGCCGCCACGCCUGGCCUUGUUAUCUUUUUUUUUUUUUUUUUUAAACUUUAUACAGGCAAGGUCUCGCUAUGUUGUCCAGGCUGGAGUGUAGUGGCUAUUCACAGGCACUUUCACAGCACAAUGCAGCACUGCUCAAGCAAUCCUCUCACCUCAGCCUCAUGAGUAGCUGGGACCAUAGUUGGACACCACUACACUGAGGUCUUUUGGUUUUUUUUUCUUACUUUUUUUUUUGGUGGUGGUGGUUUAGUUUAAGCAGCAACAUGCGAAAAGGUAUCUUUAAAAUUCACCCCAGUUUAAAGGAGGGUAAGAUAUAAUUUAGUGGUUUUAUAAGGAAACGGCUUCUCAGAAUAUUUUGUAAAGGGCAAGAAUCACGUUUUCUAUUUCAUGUGUCCUUUAACAGUUCUAAUAAGCAAUUAAUGUUUAUUAUGAUUGAGGUAUGCUGGGUGCAGUGGCUCAUGCCUGUAAUCCCAGCACUUUGGGAGGCCUAGGUGGGUGGAUCACCUGCAGUCAGGAGUUCGAAACCAGCCUGACCAACAUGGUGAAAUCCCGUCUCUACUAAAAAUACAAAAUUAGCCAAGUGUGGCGGUGUGUGCCUGCAAUCCCAGCUGCUUUGGAAGCUGAGGCAGGAGAUUGCUGGAACCCGGGAGGCAGAGGUUGCAGUGAGCUGAGAUUGUGUCAUUGCACUCCAGCCUGGGCAACAACAGUGAAACUCGGUCUCAAAAAAAAAAAAAAAAGAAAAAAAAAAAGACCAGGCGCGGUGGCUCCCUAGCACUUCGGGAGGUCGAGGCGGGCGGAUCACAAGGUCAGAGUUUGAGACUAGCCUAGCCAACAUGAUGAAACCCCGUCUCUAGUAAAAAUAGAAAAAUUAGCGCCCGUAAUCCCAGCUACUCGGGAGACUGAGGCAGAAGAAUCUCUUGAACCCAGGAGGACGAAGUUGCAGUAAGCCAAGAUCGUGCCACUGCACUCCAGCCUGGGCAAGAAGAGCAAAAUUCUGUCUGGGGGGCAGGGGGAAGAGGUAUAUUUUUUGGAUUAAAAUGGAAUGCUUUCCUCAAACUGUUAAAAUUAGGUAGUGUUACAAGUUUAAAGAAUAGGUUUAGCCAGUGUGAUUAUUGCAGUGUAAUAAAAAGGAUCCCAGGUGGCACACAUGCUAGUGUGGUGCCCAGAUGCUCAACUGAAGUGAAGGAUAACAUGCGUUUCAACAUUUUCUAUAUACUAGGCAGUUUUUCUUAAGUCUUGGUUUAUUGUGAUAUAAUACAGUAAAAUUUACUCUUUAUACGUAUGAUUCCAUUAAUAUUAACAAAUUUAAACAGUCUUACAGCUAAAUACAAUCAAGAUACAGAACAUUUCCAUCACUACAGGAAGUUGUUUUUUGCUAAUUUAACUAAACUUCUUACCAUGCUCAACCCCCCACCCCCACCCUGAGAACCACUGCUUUGUUUUUCUGAUCAUAUAGUUUGGCCUUUUCAAAAAUGUCAUACAGUUGGAAUCAUAUAGUAUGCAUGAAUCAUGUAGCUGAAGUUUUCAUUUCACUUAGGUAAACACCUAGGAAUAGGAGUGCUGGGUUAUACUCUAAGUGUUAAACUUCAUAAGAAGCUGCUAAACUGUUUUCCAAAGCAUCUGUACCAUUUUCCUUUCCCACCAGCAAUAAAGCAUUCAUUAGUCUACGUACUCACCAGUGCUAGUGUGGUCAGAAUGUAUAGUUUUAAUUAUACACAUUAUAAUAGAUGUAGAGUGGUAUCUCAUCGUGAUUUUGCCUUUUCCUAAUGAAUAUCUUUCCUUACAUAUUUGUCAUUAGUGUGUCUUCUUUAGUAAAUGGUCCUAUUGUUUUGCCCAUUUUUAAAAGUUGAGUUUUCAUAUUGUUCAAUUUCGAGAGUUCUUCAUAUAUUCUGGACACAAGUCCUUUGUCAGACAUGUGAUUUGCAAAUAUUUUCCCCCAGAGUUUUUCCUGUCUUGUCAGUCCCUUAAUAGUGUUUUUAGGAAGGAGAACAGCUGCUUUUAAUUUUGAUAAAGCUUGUCAAUUGUUUUUCUUUUAUGGAUCAUGCUUUUGGUGUAGUAUCUGAGAACUCUUUCUUAAACCAGUCACACAUGUCUUCUGUUUUCUUUGAAGCUUUACAGGUUGAGGUACAUUUUGGUCCAUGAUCACUUUUGAGCUACUUUUUAUAUAUAGGUAGUAUAAGAUAUGGUUUGAGGUUUUUGUUUGGGGUUUUUUUUCUUCCUGCAUAUGAAUGUUCAGUUGUUCCAGCACCAUUUGUUGAAAAAACACUAUCCUUUCUCUAGUAAUUUGCUUUUUUACUUUUGUCAGUUGACUAUUUGUGGGUCUGUUUUUAAACUCCAUUUUAUAUUAUGUCUACAUUAUGAACUUUAUAGUUAGUCUUGAAAUUAGGUAAUGUGGGUCUUCUCACUUGUGCUUUUCAAAAUUGUUUUGGCUCUUCUAAUUCUUUCACUUUUUCCAUAUAAAUUUUAGAAACAGCUUAUUGAUUUCUACCACUUUCCCCCAAAAAGCCACUUGGGAAUUUGACUAAGUUUACAUCGAAUCUAAUAAAUGAUUUUGGAGAGAAGUGGUAUCUUAGCAAUACAGUCUUUUCUGAUAACACUUCCUGUUUUAGUUCUUUUUCUCAUUUAAUAAUUUUCCAACAUUAAAACCUUGGACAAAUUUAGAUGUGUAUCUGAAUAAUUCCAGUUUUGUUGCCAUUUAAAAUGGUACAUAAUCCUUAUUUUAUAGAUGAGAAAAUUAAGUAACUUGCCCAAGUCACACAGUUACUAAAUGACAAAGCUAGAUUGAAAUCUAUGAGCUUAUAAACUAAUGUCCUGUUUUGAGCUACAGUACUAGUUUUAUUAAAUUGUUGUGGUUAAACUGGGGUAGAGAGGAAGUCCUAACUUCUUUUAAGAAAAAAAAAAUCCCACUACUGUAGUUCAUAAAAUAAUUGGUCCCCCCACACUUAUGUAUUUUCAAAGAUUCAGUUUUCCAGAUCUGUUCAGGUGAUAAACCAUGCUUUUUUUUUUUUUUCUUCUUUCUCUUUGAGACAGAAUCUUGCUCUGUCACCCAAGCCGGAGUGUAGUGGUGCCAUCAUAGCUCACUACAGCCCUGAACUCCUGGGCUCAAGAUAUCCUCCCACCUCAGCCUCUUGAGUAGCUGGGACUACAGGCGCAUGCCAUCAUGCCUGGCUGACUUUCUUAUUUUUUGUAGAGAAAAGGUCUCUCACUACGUUGCUUAGGCUGGUCUUGAACUCCUGGGUUCAAGCGAUCCUCCUGCCUCAGCUUCCCAAAGUGUUGAGAUUACAGGUGUGAGCCACCACACCCAGCCUCCAUGUUCAUCUUAGUUUAGAAGCCUUCGAUUGACACAUUUCUGAAUCAGUGAUUUUCAAAUAGUAUACCUUAUCCAGCAGUUAGUAUGAUUUCAAUGUGUGUACCUUUAGCAUGUGAAUAGUUAUUUGUGCUCACCAGUUGAAAUACAAGGAAAGGAUUUUUUUUUUUUUUAAACAACUCUCAGUCUUGUGCGGGGGGGAGUGGGGGAGGUGGUGGUAUAUACUUUAUUAUAGUUCAGCCAUAAUAGAUACAUAUGGUCAGUGGGAACAACAAAAAAAAGCUAUACUUGGUUGGGGUUACAAUAGUUGCAUUUCAUGUUUUGAAGUUCCUUUGAUAGGUGGAUAUUUUUACAAACUGAGAAUAUUUGUAGUCUUAAUUUGCUACUUUUCCUGUGAAAUGAAGAAUAUUCUGAUGUUGAGACCUGUUAAACAUUGGUAACCUAGAAGUUGACUUUCUUAUUUUUUAGGUCUCUAUGAAUAAAGAAAAGCAAAUAGAAUCUUAUCAGAUAAGUGCUUUUAUAAGUCUAAAUAUAUUCUUUGGAAUCUCUAAAGCAAAACUUUUAAACUUUUUUUUUUUUUUUUUUUUUUUUAGGUACCAGCAUCAAGAUGAUUUAUGGUAAUAAGGUACUCAGUCUUUGCUUAAAAUAAAUUUUACGUUUAUCAAAGUAAAAUUUACCAGCUUUUUUUCCUAAAGAGGCUAGUCAUAUCUCAUCAGUGGUUACAAAGUAUCCUUACAAUUGAACCUACAUUUGUUAAUCCUGUUCAGUGUGUAUGAAAAUCACUUGGUGGCCGGGCAUGGUGGCUCACGCCUGUAAUCCCAGCACUUUGGGAGGCCAAGGCGGGCAGAUCACAAGGUCAGGAGUUCGAGACCAGCCUGGCUAAUAUAGUGAAACCCCAUUUCUACUAAAAAUGCAAACAUUAGUCAGGCAUGGUGGCAGGUGCCUGUAGUCCCAGCUACUUGGGAGGCUGAGGCAGGAGACUCUCUUCAACCCGUGAGGCAGAGGUUGCAGUGAGUCGAGAUCAUGUCACUGCACUUCAGCUUAAGCAACAGAGCGAGACUCCAUCUCAAAAAAAGAAAAGCACGUCACUCGAUGUUCUUUCUUUCAUAAGAGUUGAAGAACUAGGUAUAUCUGCUUAUAUUAUGGCAUCUAUAGUAGCUUAGCUGCUCAUAUUUGGGUCUCUUUAGAACCAGUGUCUUUCAAAGAGGGUUUUAACUAUGCUGGUGUAAAUUUUAAGAAUAGAUACAUUCAAAGAAGAAUUCAACAUUCAUGUGACAUUCAUACUUUGGAACUUUGGGAAAGUAUAGGAAUGACCAUAGAUUGGCUUAGGGAUAGUCAAUUUACCUGUCUGUAAAUGGAUCCAAUUUAGUAUUGUUCCUGUAUUUUUCUAAGACCAACACUUGUGUCAUUCACAGUUAAAUAUAUGAGUUGUGGCCAGGCCCGGUGGCUCAUGCCUGUAAUUUCAGCAUUUUAGGAGGCUGAGGUGAACAGAUUGCUCAAGUCCAGGAGUUCAAGACCAGCCUGGGCAACAUAGUGAGAUGCGGUCUCUACAAAAAAUUUUUAAAAGUUAGCCAAGCAUGGUGGUGCUUGCCUGUGGUCCCAGCUACUUGGGAGGCUGAGGUGGGAGGAUUGCUUGAGCCAUAUGCUCUAAUAUAUUUUAAAAUACAUAUUUUAAAUAUAUUUUGAGUGGUAAAAUGUAGCAGAUAAUGUUACAUAAAAGAAGCCAUGGUAAUGACAUGACAUUACUGGUUUUGAGUUGUUUGUGUAGUAGUUAGCUAUUAAUACUCAGGUAUAAUGAUUUGCUAUUUAAACUACACAAAUGCUCAAAGUCCAGCGAUACCCUGCACCCAAAUUCAGUGGCUAGAUUACCUUCUUAGGAAAGCACAACACUUCAAUGGAGUGACACUGGCAUGAGUCCACUAGAGGGUGUGUAUACAUGGCCUGAGUUCAAAUUGUUCCUGCUGUGAGUACUGCUUUUCAGCUUCAAGUUAUUCUUAUCGGCCACAGUACUGUUUAUUCCACUUAGUAACAGUUCUGUUUACAGAGCACUUUAACAUAAAUUCUGAUUUUUAACAUGAAAGCUGUCUGAUGUUGGUAUUUUUAUUUUAAUCUUUAGAGAUCAAGAAAUUUUUUUAGUGACAGAAUAGGGACUUUAUUGAUCCUUAAAUCCGCCCCUCACCACAAUAAAGGAAAAAAGCAAAAACAUCCUUGACUCAUGUAUUGAAGGGUCUUUUUUGAGAAGGGUCAGUUUUUGAAAAAUUAUCCAAAACUGAAACAUCUGUCAUCUGUAUCACAUCUAAAGAUUAACAGUGACUGAUGACCACCAGUUACUUCAUAUGAAAGUGGGAAACCGUAUCAGUUAUUUGUCCACUAAGUUGGUAGGUGCUUUUUGUACAAAAGCCCAGGAGAAUAUGAUCUGUAAAUUCUAGUUGAGUGAUGAAGAUGGGGCUUUGAAUUAAUCUACAGUCUUGGAAUUAAUUCUGCAGCAUUUUAACCAGGGAAUUUUUCAGUAGUCAUAAAUCUAUAUUUUAAUACUGAGUAAAUGUCCUCAUUUACCCCCACCAAUUUUGUAAAGCAGAUAUUAACCAAACUUCAAUAGUUAUAAGACAAAAAUUUAAUGAAAAUUGGACAGUAUGUAUAAUCCAGGGCUAAAUAGUUACAUUGGACUGGAGUAGAAAUUUAAAAUACAAUAGAUGCUGGAGUAAAUGUUACAUAUUAUCAUCAUCUGAUUCAUCUUCUUCCUUCAGAGAUUCCUGUUAAGAGAAAACAGGUGUUUAAAAUUGAUUUUUAAAAUUGUUAUAUCCCACACCUGUGGGCAAGUUAAGCUACAACAACCUGAAUUAAGUGGUUAAAUUCCUCUACUUGUAACUGAAUGAACAGUUUCAGAAUAAGAUACCCAAGCAAAGUUAAUUAAGCAAAUGUUGCUCUAACAUGCAAUGACUGUAUCUUUGAUAGAAUAUAUACUUAAGAGGCCUGGUGCAGUGUUCAUGCCUGUAAUCCCAGCACUUUACGGGGGCCAAAGUAGGCAGAUCACGUGAGUUCAAGAGUUUGAAACUAGCCUGGUGAAAACCCGUCUCUGUAUUAUUGGUGAAGCCAAAAAUACAAAAGUAGCCAGGUAUGGUGGCAUGUUCCUGUAAUCCCAGCUACUUGGGAGGCGGAGGCAGGAGGAUCGCUUGAACCCUGGAGGCAGAGGUUGCAGUGAGCAGAGAUGGUGCCACUGCCCUCCAGCCUGGGUGACAGAGCAAGACUCCGUCUCAAAAAAAAAAAAAAAAAAAAGAACAAAUAUUUAAAGUAUUAAAAGUCCUAAAAAACUCUUUGCAGUCUAAACCUCCCAAGUUUUUUUUUUUUGGAACCAAGGCAACUUUACCCACUAGAGAUAACCUAGAAAAUUUCUAUCUUUAGUUCAACUGAACUCUCAGUGUUAUUUCAUAGAAACCACCCCAGUCUAUUUAUAUUAUUCAACACAUAAUUUUGGUUAGAGAAUUUUUUUUUUUUUAAAUUAGGGAUGGGGGUCUUGCUGUGCUGCUCAGGCUGGUCUCAAACUCCUGGGCUAAGUGAUUCCCUGACUGUACCUGGCCAAGAGAAGUUUUUGUGCUGUGGCUUACCUUAGCAUAUUUCUCUGCUUCUUCUCUUAUAUCUUUUGGAACAAUUUCAUGUCUUCCAUUAGUUACUGUAAAUUAAGCCACAUGUGUAAAUGAAUUUUAAAUUGAGUACCAUAUUGUAACUUGCAGUAUACCAUAGGAUCUACCCAAUCCACAUAUCUGACUCACCUAAGGUUGCAAAGUUGUACUAUGAGUAAUACUCGAAUAUUUUUGUGUGCUGCUUCUACAUGAGAUUAUAUGUGCCUACAUAUUAAGUUCUUAUGGAAAUGAAAGUAAAUUAUGCUAUUUAUAAAUCCUGAGCAUUAAUUUAUAGCAUAGUAUCUUAAAACCAUGAAAUGGAUGUUUCAAAAAAUAACGUGUUCACAACUUAAGUCAAUUAUUAAGCAGAACUUUCCCUUCAUUAGACAACCUAGUAAAUUUGCUUUAGCUUUCAUUAUAUUAGAAAGGACACUCAGUUGUAAAUUAGCUGUGGUACAGAUCAUUCCUAAGGCAAAUAAAUGUACAAAAAUAACUUACAUUCACCAACCCAGCUGAGUUCUAGUUCAAAAGCUUUAUCCUUAACUUCGUCAUGUACUAUGUAAAUUCUAGAAUAGAAAAGGGAAAGGUAAGAUUUUGGUAACCUCCAAACAUUGAAGUAGUUCACAGACCCAAAGUCAGUACAAAUUAGAAUGUCCAUCCAUAAUAAAAGUAUCUAUAAAAUUACACAGACACAUUCUACAUAGUAUUUAACAUUAGAGAAGACAAAUUACACAGGGACUGAAAUAAAAUGAAACAUCUACUCUCCCGACAAAUGUUGAAUAUACCUAAUCAACCCAAGUUCAGUUUAUUUUUGCACAUUGCUUUAGAGAUAUAACUUGGCUGGGCACAGUGGCUCACACCUGUAAUCCCAACACUUUGGGAGACCAAGGCGGAUGGAUCACUUGAGGUCAGUUCGAGACUAGCCUGGCCAACAUGGUGAAACCCUGUCUCUACUAAGAAACAAAAAUCAGCCAGGUGUGGUGGUGGGCGCCUGUAAUCUCAGCUACUCAGGAGGCUAAGGCAGGAGAAUUCCUUGAACCCGGGAGGCAGGGGUUGCAGUGAGCCAAGAUCACACUACUGCACUCCAUCCUGGGCUACAGUAGAGCGAGACUCCAUCUCAGAAAAAAAAAAAGAUACAACUAUAAAAGAUACCUCAUAAAGAACACGGAUUCACUAGGAAGAGGCGUCAUUAACUGUGCCCUUUUAGAAUAUUUUGUCCAUUAACUUAAAUAUAUUUAAAACCAACUAAUUGGCUGGACAUGGUGGCUCGUGCCUGUAAUCCUAGCACUUUGGGGAGGCAGAGGCGGGUGGAUCAUGAGGUCAGGAGUUCGAGACCAUCCUGGCCAACAUGGUGAACCCACGUCUCUACUAAAAAUACAAAAAUUAGCCAGGUGAGGUGGCCAUAGGCCUGUAGUCCCAACUACUCGGGAAACUGAGGCAGGAGACUUGCUUGAACCCAGGAGGUAGGGGCUGCAGUGAGCUGAGAUCACGACACUGCACUCCAGCCUGGGCAACAGAGUGAGACUCUGUUUCAAAAAAAUAAAAAAAAAAAAACUAAUUUAUGUGCUUGCAAUUAUUAGUGGUCUCUUCAACCUAUAGCUUCUUGGCAGUAGUCUUUUUAAGCUCCUUGUCCAUUUUAUAAUGGCAUAUAUGCCACAUAACCUGGCCUUCACAUUGUAGUACCUUACAAAUUACAGCAAAGAAGGAGGCACUGUCAUGCAACAUAUUAAAGUAACAUAAAAAGUAUCAAGAGGCCAGGUGCGGUGGUUCACAUCUGUAAUCCCAGCACUUUGGGAGGCCAAGGUGGGUGGAUCACAAGGUCAGGAGUUCAAGACCAGCCUGGCCAAGAUGGUAAAGCCUGUCUCUACUAAAAAUACAAAAAUUAGCCAGGUGUGGUGGUGGGCGCCUGUAAUCCCAGCUACUUGAGAGGCUGAUGCAGGAGAAUUGCUUGAACACGGGAGGCGGAGGUUGCAGUGAGCCAAGAUCGUGCCACUGCCCUCCAGUCUGGACGACAGAGUGAGACUCCAUCUCAAAAAAAAAAAAGUAUCAAAUUAAGUACAGUAGCAGAGUAUAGCUUUAUCUAAUACUAUGCACUGAGUUACAUACCUUACUUUUUGGAGGGUCUUCUAAAACCUUGCUAUAAUAUGAGAGGAUCUUGAUUUUCUACAACUAAGUAAAAGAUAACAUGCUGCUCCAUUUUCUUAAAUGAUGAAGGGAUGGCUUUCCUAACAUGGAACACUUAACAGAUGACUACCAUUAUACCUAAAUAUAAAAGAUGGUAAGAACUGAUUUCCAGAAGGACUUCAAAGGAUUGGUUCGGUGAAGGAAACAGAGUAUAUCAUGAUAACAUACUAUACAAUUCAAGGAAGAUAUCUGACUUCCUUUCUUAGCAGCUCUGCUGCAUGUUGGUUCCUAGUGUUGCCAUUAUUAACUGACAAUCAUAGAAUGGCUUCUGCUUGCUUCACAACUGAAACUAGGAGGGCGGAGGGGAGGAGGUGGCAAGAGGGGUAAAGGCAGUAGCAGUAAUGAUGGACCGGUUAAUAAGAGACUCUGAGUGUGAUGUAAAUAGUAUGUUUAUUAAACAAUAGAGCCCAUUGGAAUUUUUUUCUUCCACGUAUUGUUAGAUGUAAAACCUGAUACACUACCAUACAGACAGGUGAUUGACUAGACCUUGUUUAUGUAGUUCUAAUGUGGAAUACUUAGAGUUGUUAUGAAUUACGAUUAUCCAUAACUUUUGAAUCUAAAAAGCUGGCUACACAACGUAUUUUGUUGGAAUCUUUUUGUAAUACCAAAUGUCUACACUCUUUGAUCUAGAGAAUCACAAAAUUUUAGAAACAUCACUACCCAGGUUAAUUGACUUUUUUAUUGUUUACUGUCCAAAUACCUGUUACAUAUUAAUAGUAUUCUACUUUAUAUACCUGUAAUAAACUAUUCAGGGUUUCUUAAGCUGGUUGUUGAAAUGUUUUGUAAUACUGCUCUUCUUACCUUGUUAUAGGAACUUUUAUAAUAAACCUGAAAAAGUGAAACAUAUCUUUCCCAAAUAAAUAGCAGAUUAUAUAAAUGAGCCAGCUUCAUGGAUCAUGUAUUGAAAUAAUUAGUUGUAACCUAUAAAGUUUGUAAGCAUUCUUACAAUAGAGGCAAUCUUAAGAUUACUAUUAUUAGGACUUAAGAGAUUUGAGAAGUUGGGAGCUAACAAAUUAAGACCCUAAUGGUAUAUGUCCUUAACCUGUAACAGGAGUUUAUUUUGUCAAGCUAUUUUUCCCAUCCUAUUCAUUACUACUAAAAAAUAUUGCUUAAAAACAUUUUCUUCCUUCGUGAGGCUUCUUAGAAUGUUAAAUUUACCUUCUAAAAAUUAUACACUAAGUUAUUUUACAGGAAAACAGCUUCUUAGGAUUAAUGUAAUAUAUAUAUGCAAAGGUCAAAUGAAAUAUUUUUGUGGAUGGUAAGAAAAAUUUCAACUUACAUUUUUGCAACUUCUUUAACGAUAUCACGGCAGGUCAUUUCUUUCAUCUAUAGAAAAUAAAAUGUAUACUGUUCAUCAGAAGAACAUUUUCCACUUGUGUAAUAACUAUUUUCACUUUUAUACUCAGAUAUAAAACCAAGGAAAAUAACCUAAAGUCUGAAAAAGACCAGAAUCGAAGUUUCCUGAUUCAUAUUUUAAUGUUUUGAAAUUUAUACUCCAGGCUGGGUGCAGUGGCUUGUGCCUGUAAUCCCAGCACUUUGGGAGGCCGAGGCGGCCGGAUUGCCUGAAGUCAGAAGUUCGAGACCAGCCUGACCAACAUGGUGAAACCCUGUCUCUACUUAAAAAUACAAAAGAGCUGGGCAUGGAGGUGGUGCGCGCCUGUAACCCUAGCUACUCGGGAGGCUGAGGCCUAAGAAUCUCUUGAACCCAGGAGGCAGAGGUUGUAGUGAGCCGGGAUCACGCCACUGCACUCUAGCCUGGGCGACAGAGAGAGAGACUGUCUAAAAAAGGAAAAGAAAAAAAUUUAUACGCCAAAAAAGAUAUUCUGAGAUAACCUGUAGUUACCACUAACUUUGUGACAAAAUUAUAAAAAUCCACAGCCAUCUAUGAAUCUGUAGGCAGACCUGAAGUUUGAACGACUGGUGAAGACAUCUGAUUUUCUUUAUAGCCAAGUUAGGAUAACAAAAUGCAAACAAGUCAUUAAUAUUUACUAUAUGCAAGAUACAGAAAGAUGAAGGAAGGAGUAAGAAGUUAUCCUUCGUGGAACUAUUCAAAGCAAAAAUGCAAAAUACCAGGGAAAGCUUUGAAGAACCAAGAUUUGAGCAGGUUCUUAGAAUAUAGAUUGGAUUGGAUUUGAUUUCAAGAAAGAUGAACGUGUAAAGCAGAAGUGGGAAGCCAAAAACUUUUUUCCAAAUUAGAAUUAAGCAUUCUUUCAAUGAACAUUUGGAAAUCAAGGUAGAAAAAUAUCCCUAGGGCCUAGCUGAGGAGUCUGUAUGUUGUUGGGUUUUGAUAGUAACCAGUCCAAGAUUUUGUUAUUAGACGUGGGUUUCUGAAUAGACAGGCAUUUCUGAACAGACAUGACAGGAUCAAAACAAUGUUUGAGCAAACUGCCCUUCAUCUACUGUGGAUAUGUUGGGGGAUGAUGGAAUAUAGUGAAAGAUAAUGGGUGCUCAUACAGCAGUCUAGACUUAAGGUGAUUCAACUACUAUAUAUUAAACUAGAUUAUCUUUUAUUUUUUAAUUUUGAAAUCUGGAUGCUCAAGCUCUGCCUGCACAACCACAUGAGGAAGAAGGAACAAUGACAACAAAAAUAACACUAAAUUUAAAUUUAAGAGUACUACUUUUAGGAAAUAGACAAACCAUUAUUUGGGUACAACUAAAGGCAACUGGCAUGGACUCAAAUAUUUUGGGGAAGAAAAAGACUAAAAGUUCUAAGGAAGAAAAUGCGAACCUUGAUAGUUUGAAAUAGUUAAAAAGACAGUGUAGAAACUGCUUAGGCAGUUUGAUUAUGGACUAUUAGAUGAUACUUGGGUCUGAUAAUGGUAUAAGGAGAAUAAAGUAUUUAGGGAUCCAAUAUUACGCCUGCAGCUUUUUCCAAAUAGUUCAUGGGGGAGGGGGAUGUGUAAGUGGUUAACUGAAGUCUAACUAGAUAGGUUUGUUGUAAGCUUAGGAUGUUUACAGUUCUUCAUGUUAAGUUGAGCGUGAUGGGAAGGGAAAGAAUGCUGAUCUUUAAAUUUUUGUCCUUAGUUAAGUUCUGUAUUUAGUGAAUUAAUUGCAUCCUAAAAAGUCAAACUUGAAAAGCACAUUUUAAAUGGCAAAUCUAUUUUUUACAUGUUUGUGAAGUUUUUAUUUUUUAGUAAACAGACCAUCAGAAGAGAACAAUGGUACAGAGCAGGGGUCAGCAGAUGGAUUUUGUAAAGCAUCAACUUGUAAAUAUUUUCAAGUUUAUUAGCUGUAUGGCUCUGGUUUCUGUUCCCUGUUCCAAAUGUUAAAGUCUACUGUUGUAUUCUAAAAGCAGCCAUGGACUGAAUGUAGCUGUGUUCCAAUAAAACUUACACAAAAGCAGGCAGUGGGCCAUAAUUUGCAACACCUGAUUCACAGCAUAAUUUUGUCACAAACUGAAAGUGUUCCUCAAUUAAAGUGAUUUUUUUUUCUUGAUUUUUCUCUGGGAUUUAUUGUUUUUCCCAUUCCUUGCUAGGAUUUAACUACAGAAAGACAGAUAGUAACUGCUCUAAAUAUUCUAAUUUCCUUUAUUUUUUUGAGAUAAGGUGUCGCUCUGUUGCCCUGGCUGGAGUGCAGUGGCGUGAUCAUAGCUCACUGUAGCCCCCAACUCCUGGCUGGGGCUCAAACAGUCCUCCUGCCUCAGCCUCCCAAGUAGCUGGGACUACAGGCACGCACCACCUCACCUCGCUAACAUUUUGUUUUGGGAGAUAGGGUCUUACUCUUUUGCCCAGCCUGGUCUUGGAACUACUGGGCUCAAGCAGUCCUCCCAACUUGGCCUACCAAACUGGUAGGAUUACAGGGGUAAUCCCCCUCAACUGACAUAAAUAUUCUAAUUUUCAAAUUUCCAUAUAAUAGUAUGGAGAGAUGAAAACAAAAGGAAAAGAGUAGAAGAUAGGAACCUAGCAUCAUACUAGUAAGUGUGCAAUGGAAAAGAACAUAGGUCUAAGACUCAUAAGGUCUGGAUACUGUUCAGAACCAGCUGAUUCUGUGGUCCUAUGCAGUGUGUUUAAUCUGCAGUUGAGCUUGGGCUAAAUGACCUCUAAGAUCCUUUUGUCAGCUUUACUAAAAUACGAAACAAAUUAGGUUUUAUAGGGGGUUCUAGAACUUAGCAUUGUAUAAAUGCCAAGCACUAAUAAGUAUUUUCUAGAAGCUGGUCUUAAAUAAGUUGAAUGAGUAAUUAGUUGAGCAGGGUUCUAGUACAGCAUUAACAUUAAAUGUAUGUGAAAUUGUAUCUCACUUCAGUUUACCAAAACACUGAUAAAUGGUAUGCCUGCUUUUUAGGCAAGUUUCUGACAGGUAAUCAAUAAUAUUGAAACAGUAUCCAUGAAGUCUUUAAGUUGAUCAACGCAUGGCUAAAAGGAAAACCAAGUUUUUAAGAAAACUUUUUCACACUAAUAGCUGAAUUUUGUGAAAGAAAAAGUGGGUAGUCGUAAGAGUGUAGGCUUUAUGCCUUACCUGGCUAGGAGCAAAGCUAAGAGAACCGGUGGAGCACAGCCAGACAUAAAAGCUGUGUUCCAAAGAAAGAAUAUAGGAAAAAUAUAACUUUUUAUUAACUCAAAAUUUUAAACAAAAUUUUCAAACUAGAGCUCACAGAGAUUCAUAAAUAGGUUUCAAGGAUUUUGUGAAAUCAUAUCAAAAGUUGUGUUUUUCUAGAUUGAGGCUUUAUAGCAGUUAUUCAGAAUCUAUAAAGGGAUGUAUAACACAACUCUACAGAUAAUAUGUUACCAGCUUUCCCAUUCAGUGACUUAGCAGCUUCAUAAACUCUCAACAUCAAACCACACUAUAUCCUUACACCGAGCUUCCCCAGCCACAGGCCACAUGGGGCCAAACACAAAUUCGUAAACUUUCUUAACACAUGAUGAGAUUUUUUUUUAAGCUCAUCAGCUAUCAUUAGUGUUGGUGUAUUUUAUGUGUGGCCCAGGGAAGCCAAAUGAUUGGACAUCCCUGCCUUAGACUGAAAUGUCUGUGGUGAUAAAAUUUCACUGCAUUAGGAUGACGACAUAGUAAAAAUUCAAGCAUUAAUUAUUACCUGAAGCUUCUCUAUUUCCGUCUUUGCAGCUUGCCUGGCUUUGCCGAUGGCACAGCCCCAAUAACCCUAUUUAGAAAAAAAUAUAUAUAAUCACUGAAUUAGUACACUAUCAUAUGUAAUUAAUGACUACUAAUGUUUCUAUAACCUAGUGAAAGGAUGCUAAAUGACUUUUAAAAGCAAGUAUAGAAAAAUAUAGUCAAACACAUUCUGAUGAAUGCCAAAGGGCUCAAAAAUACUAAAAUACCAAACAAUUCCAAAACAACCUGUAUUUUUAAUAAAGGUAUAUCCAAAAAUAUGUAAAUUAUGUAAUCAUAUACACUUUAAGACAUUUUGGGGAACAGGAACGGAAAAGAUUUUAGCACUAUGACAAUGAAAAAUGAAAUUAUAUAUUCCUGAGAGACAGAAAUAAAGUUAAUUCCUAUGAGUUCAGUACUCUAAACCCCCAAUUUUAUUAUUUUGUAAAUUUUUUUAAAGAUAAGGAUGCACAGCUGGGUGUGGUGGGUCAUGCCUGUAAUCCCAGCACUAUGGAAGGCCAAGGUGGGCAGAUCACCUCAGGUCAGGAGUUGGAGACCGGCCUGGCCAACAUUGUAAAACCCUGUCUCUACUAAAAAUACAAAAAAAUUAGCUAGGUGUGGUGGCAGGUGCCUGUAAUGCCAGCUACUCCAGAGGCUGAGGCAGGAGAAUCGCUUGAAUCUGGGAGGCAGAGGUUGCAGUGAGCUGAGACCGCGCCACUGCACUCCAGCCUGGGCAACAGAGUGAGACUCCAUCAAAAAAAAAAAAAAAAAGGAUGUACACAUAUAUACUUCUGUUACAGCAAAAUAUAUUUAAGAAUCUUCAUUUUCUUCAAUUAGUAAAAACGACAAAAAUGUAAGGAUAAGAAAACAGUUAAGAAACGGUAACAGGCCGGGUGCAGUGGCUCACACAAAGUGCUUGUAAUCCCAGCACUUUGGGAAUCUGAGGCACGUGGAUCACUUGAGGCCAGGAGUUCCAGACCAGCCUGGGCAACAUGGUGAAAGUCUGUCUCUACUAAAAAUACAAAAAUUAGCCAGGUGUGAUGGUACAGGCCUGUAAUCCCAGCUACUUGAGAGGCUGAGGCACAAGAAUCCCUUGAAUCCGGGAGGCAGAGGUUACAGUGAGCCAAGAUUGCACCACUGCAGUCCAGCCUGGGCAACUGAGCAAGACUCUGUCUCAAAAAAAAAAAAAAAUGGUAAUAAUUUAGGGAAAGCUCUUAGAAAUCACAUUUAAACCUUCUCUUUAAAAGGGAAGGCAGGGCAAGGUGGCUCACACCUAUAAUCCCAGCAUUUUGGGAGACCAAGGUGGGCGGAUUACUUGAGAUCAGGAGUUCGAGACCAGCCUGGCUAACAUGGUGAAACCUCGUCUCUACUGAAAAUACAAAAAUUAGCCGGGUGUGGUGAUGCAUGCUUCUAAUCCCAGCCUACUCGGGAGGCUGAGGCAGAAUUGCUUGAACUGGGGAGGUGGAGGUUUGGCGCCACUGCACUCCAGUCUGGGUGACAGAGCGAGACGCUGUCUGAAACAAAAUUAGGUCCGGCACUGUGGCUCACGCCUGUAAUCCUUGCACUUUGGCAGGCCGGGGUGGGCAGACCACCUGAGGUCAGGAGUUGGAGACCAGCUGGCCAACAUGGCAAAACCCCAUCUGUACUAAAAAUACAAAAAUUAACCAGGCAUGGUAGUACAUGCCUGUAAUCCCAGCUAAUCAGGAGGCUGAGACAGGAGAAUUGCUUGAACCUAGGAGGCGGAAGAGGUUGCAGUGAACCAAGAUCGAGCCACUGCACUCCAGCCUGGGAGACAGAGUGACACUCCAUCUUAUAAAUAAAUAAAAUAAAAGGGAUGACAUGGCUGGACAUCGAUGCUCACGCCUGUAGUCCCAGCAUUUUGGGAGUCCAAGGCAGGAGGACUGCUUAAGGCCAGGAGUUUGAGACCAGCCCUGGGAACGUGGAAAGACCUUGUCUCUAUAGACACCAAAAAAAUACAAAAAUUAGCUAGGCAUGGUGGCAUGAGCCUGUAGUCCCAGCUACUUGGGAGGCUUAGGUAGGAGGAUCGCCUGAGCCCAGGAGUUGAGAGGCUGAAGUGAGCUAUGAUUGUGUCACUGCACUCCAGCCUGGGCAAGAAUGAGGAAAAAAGACAUUAAAUACAGUUUUAAGACAGUGUUUAUAGUAAUAAAGGAAAAUCACAUAUUCAAAAUACUAUAUGCACUAUACAGUUUCUAUAAAUAACAUACUGAAAAAAAAUCUUUCCUCUGCCUCGUAUCAGUUAUUAAUGAUAAGAAAACAUGGCUGGGCCUGGUGGCUCACACCUGUAAUACUCGCACUUUGGGAGACCCAGGUGGGUAGAUCUCUUGAGGACUGGAAUUCAAGACCAGUCUGGCCAACAUGGCAAAGGCCUGUUUCUACUAAAAAUAAAAAAAAUUAGCCAGGUGGUGCACACCUGUAAUCCCAGCUACCCGGGAGGCUGAGGCAGAAGAACUGUUUGAACCUGGGAGGCAGAGGUUGCAGUGAGCUGUGAUCACACCACUGUGCUCCAGCCUGGGCCACAGUGAGACCCUGUUCCCCCAAAAAGGAAAAAAAAAAAAAUUCUGUUGGACAAGAGGUUGUUGUAAAAAAAAAAAAAAGAAAAAUUACUUUCCUUGAAUGAGUUUUUUUUUAAUUUCAUAUAAUCUUAUAAUGAGACUUAAAUGCUAAUGAAAUACCAUUAAACUAAAAUAGAAUUUCAAAUGAUUCAAAAUUACUCACGUAUGAAACACCUGAUGGGUCAAUCAUGUAGAGUUGCGCACCGUCAUUCACACUGUAAGACCCUAACAUGAAACUGCAUGAAAGUAUACAAACAGCUUAAACCAUGGCAAUAACAUAAAAGUAUUUGUGAAAAAAUUAUUUUAAAAUGCAGUUAUAUUUUCUUUCUGAGAUAAAUUACUAAUACACAUAUAACUCAGUAAGUACUUUGAAACAGUGGUUUCAAUUAAUUAAAACUAUUACAUGAGAUUAUUCAAAAUUCAUGUAGCUUUUGUUUGUUUAGUAUUAAUCUUUCUGAUGAAGGUCUCCUGGAAAGUCUAGCAGUACAGGGAAAGGAGUAACGAUAGAUGAAAACCACAACUAUGAGAGGGCCCAAUAAAUAAGGCAUAAACACAAAAAGAUCAAGGGAACAAAAUUCCUGACGGAGAGUAUACUGAAUCCAUGUGAAAUUCUUUCCACCCUUCAUUCUAUUUCCCAAUAUCCUGCCAAUCAUUUCUCUGCAAUAAUCAGAAUUGGUUCAGUGUAUUUUUCUGUGCUCAACAAAUUAGGCUAUUAGCUGAUUGUAUGAAAUACUGAUUUUCUGAAAUUGUGACAUACAGUGGGCACUGUUUCCAUGAGUUCUGCAUCUGUGGAUUCAACAAACCACAGAUAGAAAACUUUCAAAAAACAUUGCUUCUGUACUGAACAACUGUGAUUUUCUUGUCAUUAUUCCCUAAACAAUACAGUGUAACAGCUAUUUACACUGUGUUAGGUAUUGCAAGUAAUCUAGAGAUGACAACAUACAGGAGGAUAUGCACAGGUUAUAUGCAAAUACUUAACCAUUUUAUAUCAGGGACUUCAGCAACCUUGGAUUUUGGUAUUCAUGGGAGGUCCUAAAACCAAUCCCCCACAAAUACCAAGGGACAACUAUAUUUGCCUUAGAGUAGAAAAGAAAUCAGCAGCAUCUUACACAUCAUCUUAUAUGCGGAAUAUUUUAACUAUUCAAUUCCCAUCCCUACCGUCAUUUCCUUCCAUUUUCUACCGAUAUGAGACUUAUCCUUCAGGAUAUAUAGCUCAUUGUCACUAUUUUAAAGCCUUUCAACAUUUCUUUGAAGAAAAUCAGCAUGGAGCACAGACUUUUAUAUGACUGGACCCCUUCCUACAUCAGUAUCAUCUCUAAACCUCAUACUCUACACACCAAGCAUACUUAACUCUCUCUGGCGCACGUAUUUUCAUACCAGUUCCUGUGCUUGCAACUACCAAGUCUCCCUACAUCUCACACUCUUCCUUGCCUCCUGUCCAGAAAGAGUCCGUUCCCUAAUUGUUGUCCCUUUAUCAUAUCACUAAUAUUUUAUCAAUGUGACUUCACACCUGUGUCUCCACAUUUAUGACUAACUCAGUGCCCAAUAGAUGUUUACUAAAAAAGUUCUCUCUGGCCCAGUGCGGUGGCUCACGCCUGUAAUCCCAGCACUUUGGGAGGCUGAGGUGGAUCACUUGAGGUCAGGAGUUUGAGACCAGCCUGGCCAACAUGGCGAAACCCUGACUGUACUAAAAAUAAAAAAAUUAGCCGGGCGUGGUGGCAGGUGCUUGUAAUCCCUGCUACUCAGGAGGUUGAGGCAGGAGAAUAGCUUGAACCCGGGAGGCAGAGGUUGCAGUGACCUGAGAUCGUGCCACUGCAUUCCAGCCUGGGCGACAGAGCGAGACUCCAUCUCAAAACAAAACAAAACAAACAAAAAAAAAGUUAUGAAAAAAAGUUAUCUCUACUAUUCUUACUCCCUUAAAAAGAGUAGAGAAGUUAACUGAUGAACUCAGAGCUCAGUUGAAAGGUAUUUUACAUGGUCUGAAAACAAAGUGUUUCAUAAUGUAAUUUAACUGAGAAGCUUAAGAAUGACUAAUGUCAGCCUGGGCAGCAUGGUGAGACCCCGUCUCUACAAAAAAAAAUUUUGUUAAUUAGCCAGGCAUGGUGGCCCAUGCCUGUGGUCCCAGCUACUUGGGAGGCUGAGGUAGGAGCAUCGCUUGAGCCAGGUCAAAGCUGCAGUCAGCCAUGAUGGCACCACUGCACUCCAGCUCAGGUGACAGUAACUGUCUCAAAAAGUAAAAACAAAACCCUAAUGUAAUAUUACCAAUAGAAUAAAACUCAAGUUUUCUUUAAUAUCUUAGUAAUUAAAUAUGACUGAUGAUAAACAACUCAAAGGUAGGACUACAGCUGAGCACUCAGAUGUUAGUAUAUGUAUUAUUUUGACCAAACAUGUUUGACUGUUUUAAGUCAUAAGCCAAACAUGUCUUUUCAUUUUAGAAAAAUCUAGUCACAAGUCUUCUCUGUGAAGCCAAAUUUGAAUAUUUAUACCUAUUCCAGGUCUUUAUGCAGCUGAAUCUCCACUUUACCCCACAAUAAAAUAUCAGCACUUCAACAGAAAGAGAAACCGUGCCUAAUGGGAAUUGUGAGACGUAAUUUUUAAAAUUACCUAAGAAUAUCAGGGACUAACACCGAGAGCUUAUUAUAAUCAGAUUAAAGUCAUUGUUAUCAGUUCCUUGUUUUAUAAUCACUUCAGAUCUAUAUAGUCCUUUUCACUAUUGAAACCUUUUUUUUUUUUUUUUUUUUUUUUUUAAAGAGGCAGAGUCUCUAUUGCGCCAGCUAGAGUACAGUGGUAUGGCCACAGCUCAUUCCAGCCUUCAACUCCUGGGCUCAAAUGAUCCUCUCAAGCAGCUCCUAAGUAGCUGUGACUACAGGCAUGUGAUACUGCACCUGGCUAAAUUUUAAAUUUUUUUUGUAGAGAUAGGUUCUCACUGCGUUGGCCAGGCUGGUCUCAUACUCCUGGGCGCGAGGGAUCCUCCCACCUCAACCUCCCAAAGUACUGGGAUUACAGGCUUGAGCCAUGGCACCCAGCCUCAAGUAGUUUCUAUGUACACUGUUUUAUUUAAUCAUUGCCCUAAUACUUAUCGACGAGUUUCUAUUUUUAAGUAUGUAAAAGGCUAAGAUGCUGGGGAACAUAAUAAAUAUCUAUAGUACAGAUCUGCCUUUUGAAUAAUUCACAAAAUUUCUUACCUGCAGCCAAAAGGUCUAACAGCACUGUAGAGUGUAUAUGCAUGCACAUACAUGGCCACUCUGUCUGCAAGAUGCUAUGGAGGGAAGCAGAAGAGCUUAUUAAUAAACUUCUAUUACUGUCCAAAAGGUUCCUCAAUAUGUUAUCAACUUACUUUUAGUGGAAUGUUGUAGCCAAAGUUAGAUCUGAAGUUGGAAGCUUCUUCUCUUGCUAUGUCUGCUAAAGAACGAGCAUCUGCCAACAAACCUGCUACUGCCUGAAAAAAAAGCACCAAUUUACUAGAGGAACACAUUCCUAUCACAAAUCAAAGUCUGCAAUUAAUAAAGACUUAUUAAACAUUUUUUUAACAAGUAUUACCAUUCAAAAUAAACUUUUUUGGCUUAAAGGUCUCUCUACAAGGCAUUUUGAUGCUUGAGUAUGAAAUUAUAAUUUAGAAAUUUAGUAAGUAUAACUUCAUUGCUUUGUCCAAUGUUCAUAUUCAGGACAUUUCCUUUUUUUUUUUUGAUACGGGGUCUCGCUCUGUCACCAGGGCUGGAGUACAGUGGCAUGAUCUCCGCUCACUUCACACUCUGCCUCCUGGGUUCAUGCCAUUCUCCUGCCUCAGCCUCCUGAGUAGCUGGGACUACAGGCGCCUGCCACCACGCCCGGCUAAUUUUUUUGUAUUUUUAGUAGAGAUGGGGUUUCACCAUGUCAGCCAGGACGGUCUUGAUCUCCUGACCUCGUGAUCUGCCUGCCUCAGCCUCCUAAAGUGCUGGGAUUACAGGCGUGAGCCACCGUGCCCGGCCAAUAUUCAGGACUACUUCUAUCAUAAAUCCUCUUCCCCUGAUUUACUACCACUACCUCAUUAUAACGAAUAAAAACCAUGGGUCUUGGUCAGAUUUUUUUUUUUUUUUUUUUUUGAGACAGAGUCUCACUGUGUCACCUAGGCUGGAGCACAAUGGCACCAUCUGGGCUCACUUCAACCUUUGCCUCUCAGGUUCAAGGGAUUCUCCUGCCUCAGCCUCCCCAGUAGCUGGGAUUGGCUAAUUUUUAUAUUUUUAGUAGAGACAGGGUUUGGUUUUGUCAUGUUGGCCAGGCUGGUCUUGA